rnacentral:rRNA from 1 species
UUGAACGCUGGCGGCAUGCCUUACACAUGCAAGUCGAACGGCAUCGCGGGAAAGCUUGCUUUCCUGGCGGCGAGUGGCGAACGGGUGAGUAACACAUCGGAACGUACCGGCUAGUGGGGGAUAACCCGUCGAAAGACGGGCUAAUACCGCAUACGCUCUUCGGAGGCAAGCAGGGGACCUUUGGGCCUUGCGCUAGACGAGCGGCCGAUGUCCGAUUAGCUAGUUGGUGGGGUAAAGGCCUACCAAGGCGACGAUCGGUAGCGGGUCUGAGAGGACGAUCCGCCAACCUGGGACUGAGACACGGCCCAGACUCCUACGGGAGGCAGCAGUGGGGAAUCUUGGACAAUGGGGGCAACCCUGAUCCAGCAAUGCCGCGUGGGUGAAGAAGGCCUUCGGGUUGUAAAGCCCUUUCGGCAGGGAAGAAAUCGGCGGGGCGAAUAACCCUGCUGGAUGACGGUACCUGCAGAAGAAGCACCGGCUAACUACGUG